rnacentral:rRNA from 1 species
ACGGAAGGCAGCAGUGGGGAAUAUUGGACAAUGGGGGAAACCCUGAUCCAGCGACGCCGCGUGAGUGAAGAAGUAUUUCGGUAUGCAAAGCUCUAUCAGCAAGGAAGAAAAUGACGGUACUUGACUAAGAAGCCCCGGCUAACUACGUGCCAGCAGCCGCGGUAAUACGUAGGGGGCAAGCGUUAUCCGGAUUUACUGGGUGUAAAGGGAGCGUAGACGGCAUAGCAAGUCUGAAGUGAAAUGCAUGGGCUCAACCCAUGAACUGCUUUGGAAACUGUUAAGCUAGAGUGCAGGAGAGGUAAGUGGAAUUCCUAGUGUAGCGGUGAAAUGCGUAGAUAUUAGGAGGAACACCAGUGGCGAAGGCGGCUUACUGGACUGUAACUGACGUUGAGGCUCGAAAGCGUGGGGAGCAAACAGGAUUAGAUACCCUGGUA